AAAUAGAUACCCCAGGUAGUCCACGCCGUAAACGAUGUCGACUUGGAGGUUGUGCCCUUGAGGCGUGGCUUCCGGAGCUAACGCGUUAAGUCGACCGCCUGGGGAGUACGGCCGCAAGGUUAAAACUCAAAUGAAUUGACGGGGGCUCGCACAAGCGGUGGAGCAUGUGGUUUAAUUCGAUGCAACGCGAAGAACCUUACCUACUCUUGACAUCCAGAGAACUUAGCAGAGAUGCUUUGGUGCCUUCGGGAACUCUGAGACAGGUGCUGCAUGGCUGUCGUCAGCUCGUGUUGUGAAAUGUUGGGUUAAGUCCCGCAACGAGCGCAACCCUUAUCCUUUGUUGCCAGCGGUCCGGCCGGGAACUCAAAGGAGACUGCCAGUGAUAAACUGGAGGAAGGUGGGGAUGACGUCAAGUCAUCAUGGCCCUUACGAGUAGGGCUACACACGUGCUACAAUGGCAUAUACAAAGAGAAGCGACCUCGCGAGAGCAAGCGGACCUCAUAAAGUAUGUCGUAGUCCGGAUUGG
rnacentral:rRNA from 1 species